rnacentral:lncRNA from 1 species
GAGAUUCUUUCACGUAUUCAAUUUAUCAUGUCGAUCCUGUACUAUGACCACAUAUUCCCUAUGGUAGGGUCAUCAACACCGACUAAUCUUCUUGCGGUGAGUCCUUCAGGACAGUCAAUUGCCAACGUAUCUGCCCCCAUUGGCGGGAUCCUCAACAUAGCCAGGUCGAUAGUUCAAUUAGUUCUCUAUUUCAUAUUUCAGUUAUAAAAAACAUACAGUGUCAAAACCAAAUAUCGUUCAUAUCUUAACCUCUUUCAAUUUAUCAGUUUCAACUCAAUAGUCAGGAACUAUGACCACAUGUUCCCUGUGGCAGGGUCAUAUCACCGACUAUUCUUCUUACGGUACCAAUGUAUUAGCCUCCAUUGGCAGGGUCCUCAACAUAGCUCGACUGCAAGUCUGAAU